UACGAAGGGGGCUAGCGUUGCUCGGAAUCACUGGGCGUAAAGCGCACGUAAGCGGAUUGUUAAGUCAGGGGUGAAAUCCUUGAGCUCAACUCCAGAACUGCCUUUGAUACUGGCGAUCUCGAGUCCGGGAGAGGUGAGUGGAACUGCGAGUGUAGAGGUGAAAUUCGUAGAUAUUCGCAAGAACACCAGUGGCGAAGGCGGCUCACUGGCCCGGUACUGACGCUGAGGUGCGAAAGCGUGGGGAGCAAACAGG
rnacentral:rRNA from 1 species